rnacentral:rRNA from 1 species
UGAGUACGAGAUGCUACGGCGUCGAAGCAGUGUAUGUCAGACUUCCAAGAAAAGCUCGCAAUGUCAUAAAUAAAUAAUGCCUGUACCAUAACCGACACAGGUGGGUAGGUAGAGUAUACUAAGGGGCGCGAGAUAACUCUCUCUAAGGAACUCGGCAAAAUGACUCCGUAACUUCGGGAGAAGGAGUGCCUUAUUUAUAAGGUUGCAAUAACAGGAUCCAAGCAACUGUUUACCAAAAACACAGGUCUCCGCUAAGUCGUAAGACGAUGUAUGGGGGCUGACGCCUGCCCAGUGCCAGAAGGUUAAAGAAGUUGGUUAGCAUUAGCGAAGCUGAUAACUGAAGCCCUGGUGAACGGCGGCCGUAACAAUAACGGUCCUAAGGUAGCGAAAUUCCUUGUCGGGUAAGUUCCGACCCGCACGAAAGGCGUAAUGGUUUGGAUACUGUCUCGGAGAGGGGCUCGGUGAAAUAGACUUGUCUGUGAAGAUGCGGACUACCUGCACCAGGACAGAAAGACCCUAUGAAGCUUUACUGUAACUUGAAAUUGAAAUUGGACUUUAUUUGCGCAGUAUAGGUGGGAGGCGUUGAAAAUAUUCUUGCGGGGAUAUUGGAGCCAUCAGUGAGAUACCACUCUUGUAAUGUUAGAUUUCUAACUUUGUAUCAUAAUCUGGUCAAAGAACAGUUUCAGGCGGGCAGUUUGACUGGGGCGGUCGCCUCCCAAAUGGUAACGGAGGCGCACAAAGGUUUCCUCUGAACGUGUAGAAAUCGUAUCUAGAGUGUAAAGGCAUAAGGAAGCUUGACUGUGAGACCUACAAGUCGAGCAGGGACGAAAGUCGGUCUUAGUGAUCUGACGGUACUGAGUGGAAAGGCCGUCACUCAACGGAUAAAAGUUACUCUAAGGAUAACAGGCUGAUCUCCCCCAAGAGUUCACAUCGACGGGGAGGUUUGGCACCUCGAUGUCGGCUCAUCGCAUCCUGGGGCGGUAGUACGUCCCAAGGGUUGGGCUGUUCGCCCAUGAAAGCGGUACGCGAGCUGGGUUCAGAACGUCGUGAGACAGUUCGGUCCAUAUCCGGUGUAGGCGUUAGAAUAUUGAGAGGAGCCUUCUUUAGUACGAGAGGACCGAGAAGGAUAUACCUCUGGUGUACCAGUUAUCGUGCCAACGGUAAACGCUGGGUAGCUAUGUAUAGAGAGGAUAACCGCUGAAAGCAUCUAAGUGGGAAGCCCACCUCAAGAUAAGUAUUCUCAU